UACGUAGGGACCAAGCGUUGUUCGGAUUUACUGGGCGUAAAGGGCUCGUAGGCGGCCAACUAAGUCAGACGUGAAAUCCCUCGGCUUAACCGGGGAACUGCGUCUGAUACUGGAUGGCUUGAGAUUGGGAGAGGGAUGCGGAAUUCCAGGUGUAGCGGUGAAAUGCGUAGAUAUCUGGAGGAACACCGGUGGCGAAGGCGGCAUCCUGGACCAACACUGACGCUGAGGCGCGAAAGCGUGGGGAGCAAACAGG
rnacentral:rRNA from 1 species